rnacentral:rRNA from 1 species
GACGAACGCUGGCGGCGUGCUUAACACAUGCGAGUCGAACGGAAAGGCCCUGCUUUUGUGGGGUGCUCGAGUAGCGAACGGGCGAGUAACACGUGAGUAACCUGCCCUUGACUUUGGGAUAACUUCAGGAAACUGGGGCUAAUACCGGAUAGGAGCUCCUGCUGCAUGGUGGGGGUUGGAAAGUUUCGGCGGUUGGGGAUGGACUCGCGGCUUAUCAGCUUGUUGGUGGGGUAGUGGCUUACCAAGGCUUUGACGGGUAGCCGGCCUGAGAGGGUGACCGGCCACAUUGGGACUGAGAUACGGCCCAGACUCCUACGGGAGGCAGCAGUGGGGAAUAUUGCACAAUGGGCGGAAGCCUGAUGCAGCAACGCCGCGUGCGGGAUGACGGCCUUCGGGUUGUAAACCGCUUUCGCCUGUGACGAAGCGUGAGUGACGGUAAUGGGUAAAGAAGCACCGGCUAACUACGUG